rnacentral:tRNA from 1 species
GCGCCUGUAGCUCAGCUGGAUAGAGCAUCUGCCUUCUAAGCAGAGGGUUGGGGGUUCGAGUCCCUCCAGGCGUA